rnacentral:misc_RNA from 1 species
ACUUAAUUAGAGACUUGGGACCCACACAACAGGACUGAACCUAUACAAAAAUAUGUCGGUUUCUGUGCUUUCCUGAAUUUUGUCUUGAACGGUGAGCUUUGUCCUCAACUUUGACACCAACAAAGGCUUAGUUACUGACUUCAAGUGAUGGAGGGAGCAUGUGUCUCGUCAUUAGUCGUGUGAACUGUGGCUUAUUUAAGAUGCUGUAUAGGAGUUUGUGAACCUUAGCGAUUAAUUGGGGUAUUAAAAAGGCAAGAUGACAGACCUACAGAAUAUGUUGGGAACACGUCCAACUGAUAUCACUUGGAAGAACUUGCAAGUGAUUCAGGUGGAAGAGGCAGAUACCUUCUGGGUUCGAGAGUUUCCCUCAAGUCACAUAUCAAAGAGCAUGUCAGAUUUCCAAAAGAUGGAAAUGCAGAUGAAUGAAAAGUUUAGAAAGAAGUUACCUGGCAGACAAAUGCAGGUCUUCCCAGCAAAGAUAGGUGAUAGGGUUGCAGUACUCCACAAGGAUCACUGGUAUCGUGGGAAGGUGUUGGAUAUUGCUGACACCUCUAAAGGGCAAGAAGCUGAAGUCUUCCUUCUUGACUAUGGUAGUUCUGUUAAAGCAGGAGCAGCAGCAGUAAUAGGCCUUCAGGAUGAAGACUGGACAAGUGUGUCAUAUCAGGCAAAGAAAAUUUAUCUGUUUGCAAUUAUCCCUCUGUCAUUGGAUUAUGCUCUUUCUGCAACACAGUUUAGUGUCAUUCCCAGAGAGAGUAAGACUUGGGACCCAGCAGCAACCAUUUUCGUCAGGCAUCUUGUCGAGUCCAAACCCAAAGCAGAGUUUUUGCCACUGCAGAAAAGAGAAGAUGGAUGUUUCCAUGGCCUGUUAACCCUUCACAUUAGGAUGGAGGUUUGGGAAUCAAUACCUGAGUUAGCAAAGAUCAAGUGGCCUAAGAAAGAUGAUGAAGAAGUAGCUGUCGACCUCGCCAAGCUGCUUGUAAUGUGUGACUUUGCAAAAUUUGCAACUGACAUUCUUGUGGACAGGAUGAAAGGAGGAAACAGUGAAGGAAAUUCAGAGGACACAGUCAGCUCUGAAUCAGAAUUUCCAACAGGAAGCAAUGAAGUCCAACCAGGAUCGUCUGAGCUGACGUUUAAGACUGUACAAGAUUCAGUGCCAAGAACUAGAGGGUUAACUCGAAUGGUUAGCCAUGCAAGUAGCAGCAGCAGUAGCACAAGUACAAGCACAAGCAAACUAGAAUCAAGUGCUGAUGGGCUUAAUACAUCAUUUCAGUCAUCUGGCCGUGGCAGAGGCCUUACAAGCUUAUUAGAUCUCUUAAAAGUUGGAACCUCUACUCUGCAGUCAGUUGGAAGCUCCAGCACCGACUUACAUUCAAGUUUGUCAAAUGAGAAGUCUGAAACAAGCCUAAAACCCGUAUUUCCUGACUCGCCAGUGGAAAAGUAUGAUGAAACUGCAUCCUCAGAACUUGAUGCAGCUUCUUCAUUGUGCCUAGAAGAAAUUCCUGUUCCUUCAUCAUCAAGACAAGGAAGUUUGUUAUUUCCAAUACAGAAUGAAGAAGAUGGUGUAAGCAAAGACUACAACCUUUCAUCAUCCAGUAAAGAAAGUGAUGGGAAACAGCUCCUAAUGGAUGAUGUUACCUCUGAUGCUUCUUUGGUUGUAAAGGCUGUCCCAGUGUCUAGUAUCAAGAUAUCACCUCAAAAUGUUGAAAAAUGUAAAGGAGCAGCUUGGCAAAAGGCAGAAUUUAUUGUAGAAUCACCUAGUGGAAGAGGAUUAUGCCUUAAGCUUGGUAAAUCUGGCCUUUCUGAUGUCAAGGAAGUGAGCAAAAUUUCCAAUUCUGUAGAAAGUGAGGUAUUGACAAAGAAUUCAAAAAGUAUGCAAAGUGGAAAUUGUAUGAAAAAAAAUAUUGGUAUGCAUGGGAAAAAGAGUAAGUCUGUCAACUCAGGAAAGGUUGACUGUCAUCUUAAUGCCUCAUUUAUUUCGGACUCUAGAGAUGUUUGGGACAGAGAGGAAAUGGGAGAUGUAGAGGAUGAAUUGACAAUCUCAUUAAGAGACAGAAGUUUGCCAGAGGGCCCCUGCAUUGCAAAAUUGUUCCGGAUAUUUAUAGGUGGGGAGUCCCCAAUUGCUGAGGAAGAAGUAAUUGUUAAUGAGAAUAUGGUUGAUGCAAUACUAAAUAGUCAUAUUGUGAAAGUACUGAAUGAGUUAGAUAUGAGAGCAACACGACUACAGGCAUAUGCUUGGCCUGCAAUUACACGCGGUACUUCAGCCAUCAUUGUUGGAGGCAAAAGAAGUGGUAAAACUCUUGGGUAUGUCGUACCAUUGAUAUCUGUUAUGCUAGACUCGUGGCAGCACAUAAGCCGUCGUCUUCCUCCUGGCAUUGGAGCUGUUUUAGUUAUUGUUUGCAAAGACUGGAGAAGUGCAAAAUACACUGCUGAUUCUUUAGUCAGAUUCUUACCCUCAAAAAUGUCACUGAAAGUCAUCACAGCUUGGGGAGGUUGUGGCAAUGAAGAGGUAAUAGAUACCAACUCCCAGUUACUUGGAGGUUGUGACAUCUUGGUCACAACAGCUCCAUGUCUAGUUAGGCUUCUGUCAGGCAAAACUACAGAAUUUGCAAAGGUAGAUGAAGGAAGUGGCACCAAGGCAUUUACUUCCCUUGCUAGGUGUUGCUAUCUUGUGUUUGAUGAUGUUGAUUCAACCCUUGAAAACUCUGCAAAAGAAGUGAAACAGAUACUUAAGUACUGGGGUGAAGGAAAGACCAAAAGUGAACGACGGGAUUUUGAACAGCAAUUACUUUUAGUUGCAUCAUCAUGGACCAAAUUAUUGAAUUCAUUGACAUACACAAUAACUCCUCUUCUAGAGCCAAUCAUUAUUGUUGCUGAUCCAUGGGAAGCUAUGAUAGCAACUAGAGGAUGUACCUAUGUUCAGAAGAUAGAGGAAGUAGGGACAGAACAAGAUAAACUUCUUGAACUUUUGCAAGACAAUAGACAUGGAAAGAUUUUGGUGUUUGUAGGUGACGAUAGUCAGGCAAGGAAUCUAAAAUUGUUAUUGGAUGCUGUGGCUGUAUAUUCCUUAACUGUAACAAGCUCCACUACAAUGUGGAUUAUGCAGUCCACAGUUCGGGAAUGGCACUCUUUAGCAAAUGUUGUUUUAAUAGUCUGCCAAGAGGCUACAUCACUUCUCCUCAUGUAUGAAUUAGCAAAUGCAGAACUCAUCAUUCAUGCAGAUAUACCAAAGUCUGUUUGUAGUUUCAAAAUGAGGUAUGCUUUUAUGGUGAAUAAUUUUUCAACAGAUUUAAAUCAAGAAACCAUAAACUGUGAGUCUCACAUCAUUUUGUCUAAAGAAUCAGUGAAUCUGCUUCCUCCUCUUGUUCUUGAAAUAGAAAGAGCCAGUAAAAUUCCCAAAGAGUUUCAACUUUUAGCAACUAAAACUAUGGAAAGCUGUAACCAAGGUGAUGCACUUUGUUAUUAUUUAAAAGCUUAUGGCAAGUGCAGUAUAGGAUAUAGUUGUGGAUUUAGGCAUCAAAUACAACAGUUUGAUGCUCAGAGUGUGAUCCCAAGAAAAGGUGAAGUUACAUUCAGUGUUAUCAAAGUGAUAAAUGCUUCACGGUAUUUGGUACGCCUCUUAAGUUUUAGGGAGAGAGCAGGGAUUCCUGAAUUUAAUGUAAGAGAUCACUACCUGAGGUUGUUCAUGGCUCUACAGCAGUAUUAUGCUGAUCCAGAGAACUGUGAUCAGCUGAUUAAUGUAGAAAAGAGAAUGCUAUGUGCUGUCAGAUACAAAGAAAAGUGGGCAAGAGGACAAAUUGUAGAAGUUGAUUACUCAAAGCACAUUCCUAUGAAUGUUGUAUUUCUGUUAGAUGAAGGAAAUGAUGUGACUGUAGAACAAAGUUCUUUAUACAUCCUUCCAAGUCAUUUGGCCUUGAUGCCACCUCUCAUUGUUGAGGUUUAUCUCUGCAGAGUUCAGCCUCUUGAUUAUGAUAAGGAAUGGACUUUCCAUGCAUCAAAGUACAUUGAUGAUAUAUUCAGUAAUAACUCAAACAAAAGUAUUUUUGUUGGACAAAUUGAAUUAGCACUUGGUUCAACACUGUGGUUAAGCCCUGUGACUGAGUUUACACAGGCUGGUAAAAGUAUGGUAAAGAUGGAGUCUCUAAGGUCUAGACUCAUUUCAAAUGGAUUUGGAAUCAGCAAUGUAUCCCACAUGGACAAGCUGAAAGAGAUGUGUAAGGCGGCAGACAUUUCCUUGGAACCUGAAGACCUGGCAUGCAAUGUGUUUAGGGCAACUGUAGAGAAGGCACUAGACUUACUGAAAGGUACAAAACCAAAGAAAGAGAGCUGUGAAAUGUCUAAAUUAUAUGAACAGAAUAUCACUUUAGAUCGAUCUAGUGCCAGUGAUGCAAUUACUCAUAUCAUUGAACAAACAGAUUCUGUCGACAAAAACAAGAUUGUCAGUGAUCAUGUUAAGAAAAGGCAAACCUCAGCAGUAGAUGUACAAAGGUCAAGCACUCUUAGAAGUGAAGCUAAAGAUUUACUACAGGAAACUUUGCCCUUGGAUACUGAUGUGGAAGUUGGUAUUGCAGAAAUAGAAUCUCCUGAUUGGUUCUUCAUUCAGCGUGCAGAUAAUUAUGAAAGGCUGGAUGAAUUGGAGUUUGAAGUCCAAGAGAUAACCAAACAUUGGCUCACCAGCAAUAAGCAAAACCUUCAUACAAAGAGUUUAAAAUGGGAAGAGUGUCCAUGUAUUGUACCUUCUAGCUAUUGUUUGGCAAAGUUUUCCGAUGGCAAUUACUACCGCGGCUGGGUGGACAGAGUCGGGCCAGAUGACACCAGUAAGGUCUUUUUCGUGGACCAUGGGGAGACUCUGAUUGUGCCUACUAGUCAGGUUCAGCCAUGCCCAUCACAUCUGUUGGAAUGUCUGCCUGCCCAAGCCAUUCCAUGUUGUUUGGCCAAUUUCACAUGUCCAUCAGCAAAAUUAGAGGAUGUGAAAAGGGCUAUGGAGCAGGUGGCUGAUUCUGUCGAUACAUGGACAGCAAAGGUUUUAGAAGUAAUAGAAUCAGAAAACGGGAAAAUUCACAGGGUAGAGUUAACUGACACCUCAGUGCAGCCCCCAAGGCAGCUGUCAAGAGAACUCAUGCAUGUACUCCCAUCUGUGGAUGAGAAUUACAAGGAAAAAGAGAGGACUGAAGAUGCUGAAAAUGAAGAUUGUAUUCAGUCAGCAGCUAUGCUCAAUGCAUCAUGCUUGGACAAAGAGGAAGCAUUUAAGUUUUUGCAGAAUUUGCCCAAUUUUAAGGAAUUGGCAAAAACAAUUAGGAAUAAUAGCACAGAAACAAUAAGAAACCAAGAAGAAACUACAGCAAAAUCAGAUGUUAUUCCUGGAUCAUCACAAACUUGUAACAAAUCUGACGAGUUAACAGACAGAAUCAGCAAACAAGAUUUAGAGUCAGAAAAAUAUAAAACUGUCAAAAAGAAAGAAUUGAAACAUCACAGGAAAGCAGAAAAUAACUUAUCAUCAGAGACUAACUUUAAUCAGAACCAUAAAAAUACAGAUAAGCAGCAGAUGCAACAAGAGGCCACCAAAUCGUUGGGAAAGGCAAAACCAACUAAGGCUGAUACAGACAUGUUCAAUCAACUGUGUCUGCUUGUGCCACCCCUUGAGGCUGUUAAAAGCAUCACACGGAGGCUAUAUCCAGAGACGUCCUGGAGUCAGACGGACAGUUUGGUUGUCAUCGAUAUACAUGUGCCAGGAGUUGAGCACUACAAGUGUCGGUUUACAAGGAACCAUCUGACCUUCAUGACUGUUGUGAGAGAAAAAUUCUACGUUAUUGAAGAGACUUUGGCAAAUGAAAUCGAUACAAAUUCUUGCUCUCUCAAGUUAAAAGGAAUGUCUGUGCAGAUUUACUUGACCAAGAAUACAAAAAGUACAUGGCUGUUGCUCUUUGCCGAGAAAGUAAGACGCCCAUGGUUGAAGAUGGCCUACCAGAGCUCAAGCUUAGAUGAUGAUAAGUCAUCAGUCCCUGCUAUCAGAAAAUCAUGGACAGAUUUGCAGAUUGAUGAAAAAGAGAACAGCUUUGGAGGAUACCCAGCUGGCAUGAGUGAUAGUAGUUCAGAAGAUAGUCAUUCAGAUGAAGAUAUGGAUCAAUUAAUCACCUGAGUUGAUUAAGCCAUUGCUGAUGGGGCUGUUUUGGCUCCAAAUGGUCGAAACGACAAGGUGUUUCAAACAUAAUUCGUCCGUACAACUUUGUCAUCAACUUGUGUGUUUUAUGAUCUUUUUCUUCAUGUCAUGUCUGACCUCAGGGCUCUUCAAGCCUGGCCAGAUAUUUUGUCAGUCAAAGGUGUUUUAAAACAGAUAAUAUCUAUUAUUCCAUAGGAUUAUUGCUUUGAACUCUUAAAGUUCAAGCUUAUAAUUCAGUAGCUGAAAUAUUAAGGAAUUUUGAAUUGCGAUGUACAGAUACGUUGUUGUAAUCAGGAUUUUCUUAUUUCUACUUAAAAAAUAAUAAUGAAAAUAUUGUUGUUUACAGUGUCUCUGUAAUCAAAAAAAUAAAAUCCUCUAUUCUUUUGAAAAAUGAGGUCUCUAGAUAACUUUACAUGUAGAGUUAUGAAAGAUUAUUUUCCAAUCAACUGGAAAGUUGGUAAACUGCUUCCAUUAGAAGUAUAUGAUGGGAAAAAAGUCCAUCACUUUGUUUUUUUACUUUUCAUCAAAGUAAGUUCUACUUCACUCCACAAUAUUUUGUUUGUUAGAUAAUUUAUAUUGAUAAUUGUAGUUCCAAUUUUCAAGACAAUAUCAAUUUGCAAUUUUUGUUUAGUGUAUAUAUUUCAUGGAAUAAUUCUCUAUGAUUAAUUCCUAAAGAAUAAUCUAAUUUAAAAAAAUAGAGAAGAAUUCUCUAAUUCAACCAUGACAUCAGAUAAUUAUUUAACAAAGGUAGUGCUCCCCUUCCCCCAAA